CAAUGUUUAGACUACAGCCUGGACAACCCCCUGUCUCCACAUCUCCUCAAUGUUUAGACUACAGCCUGGACAAGCCCCGCCACCACACCAUCAGUUAGGGGUCUGUGUGUGUUUCUUUGUGUUAGUGAAGUGUUUCAGAACAAGUCCUGUGAAAUCACAUACCUGAGUAUUCUGUGAGAGAGGAGAGGAGAUAGAGAGAUUAAGAGACAGAAUGGGAGACGGGAGAAAAAAAGAGGGAGAGAGAAAGGGGGGGAUAGUGGGAGAGAAAGAGACCGAGAGAGGUGUGGGAGAGAGGGAGAGAGAAAGGGGGGAUAGUGGGAGAGAAAGAGACCGAGAGAGGUAGAGAGCAAAGGGAUACACAUAUCCAAAUGAUUCACCAAUUACACAGCCACGGUACAUAUAGUAUUUAUAUAUCACCACUAACACGGUACAUGUAGUAUUUUGUACCACACCACACGCGACUGGGGGCACCUUAUUAAUUGGGGAGGAAGGGCUCAUAGUGAUGGGAGGAAUGUGGUGAAGUGACUGGUAUCAAACACAUGGUUUCCUUCUGUUUUACAACCCUUCCACUCCUGACAUUAUGAGCCGUCCUCCCCAACAGCCUCCUGUGGUUUUACUAUUAUACUAUUCAGACAUUAUGAGCCGUCCUCCCCAACAGCCUCCUGUGGUUUUACUAUUAUACUAUUCAGACAUUAUGAGCCGUCCUCCCCAACAGCCUCCUGUGGUUUUACUAUUAUACUAUUAAGACAUUAUGAGCCCUCCUCCCCAACAGCCUCCUGUGGUUUUACUAUUAUACUAUUCAGACAUUAUGAGCCGUCCUCCCCAACAGCCUCCUGUGGUUUUACUAUUAUACUAUUCAGACAUUAUGAGCCGUCCUCCCCAACAGCCUCCUGUGGUUUUACUAUUAUACUAUUCAGACAUUAUGAGCCCUCCUCCCCAACAGCCUCCUGUGGUUUUACUAUUAUACUAUUCAGACAUUAUGAGCCGUC